rnacentral:rRNA from 1 species
ACGAGGUAGAUAGGUUGGAGGUGGAAGUGCAGCAAUGCAUGGAGCUGACCAAUACUAAUCGGUCGAGGGCUUAUCCUAAUAACUA